rnacentral:rRNA from 1 species
UCUACGGGAGGCAGCAGUGAGGAAUAUUGGUCAAUGGGCGAGAGCCUGAACCAGCCAAGUAGCGUGAAGGAUGACUGCCCUACGGGUUGUAAACUUCUUUUAUAAUGGACUAAAGUGAGGCACGUGUGCCUUUUUGUAUGUACUUUAUGAAUAAGCAUCGGCUAACUCCGUGCCAGCAGCCGCGGUAAUACGGAGGAUGCGACCGUUAUCCGGAUUUAUUGGGGUUAAAGGGAGCGUAGAUGGCUUGUAAAGUCAGUUGUUAAAGUUUGCGGAUUAAACGUCAAAUUGCAAUUGAUACUGGCAGUCUUGAGUACAGGUGAGGUAGGCGGAAUUCGUGGUGUAGCGGUGAAAUGCAUAGAUAUCACGAAGAACUCCGAUUGCGAAGGCAGCUUACUAAACCGCCACUGACAUUGAUGCUCGAAAGUGUGGGUAUCAAACAGGAUUAGAUACCCGGGUAGUC